rnacentral:rRNA from 1 species
AUACGUAGGGGACGAGCGUUGUCCGGAAUUACUGGGCGUAAAGGGCGCGCAGGCGGAUAUUUAAGUCAGCUGUAAAAGGCAUGAGCUCAACUCAUGUAUGCGGUUGAAACUGGGUAUCUAGAGUGCUGGAGAGGUAGGCGGAAUUCCCGGUGUAGCGGUGAAAUGCGUAGAUAUCGGGAAGAACACCAGUGGCGAGGGCGGCUUACUGGCCAGCAACUGACGCUGAGGCGCGAAAGCCAGGGGAGCGAACGGGAUUAGAUACCCCGGUAGUCCUUGCCGUAAACGAUGAAUGCUAGGUGUGGGUGUCGAGAGGCAUCCGUGCCGGAGUUAACGCGAUAAGCAUUCCGCCUGGGGAGUACGAUCGCAAGAUUGAACCCCAAAGGAAUUGACGGGG